rnacentral:rRNA from 1 species
UACGGAGGGUGCGAGCGUUAAUCGGAAUUACUGGGCGUAAAGCGCACGCAGGCGGUCUGUGGAGUCAGAUGUGAAAUCCCCGGGCUUAACCUGGGAAUAGCAUUUCAAACUGGGAGACUGGAGUACUGUAGAGAGGGGUAGAAUUCCAGGUGUAGCGGUGAAAUGCGUAGAGAUGUGGAGGAAUACCGGAGGCGAAGGCAGCCCCCUGGAAGUAGACUGACGCUGAUGUGCGAAAGCGUGGGGAGCAAACAGG